GACGAACGCUGGCGGCGUGCUUAACACAUGCAAGUCGAACGGAAAGGCCCUGCUUUUGUGGGGUGCUCGAGUGGCGAACGGGUGAGUAACACGUGAGUAACCUGCCCUUGACUUUGGGAUAACUUCAGGAAACUGGGGCUAAUACCGGAUAGGAGCUCCUGCUGCAUGGUGGGGGUUGGAAAGUUUCGGCGGUUGGGGAUGGACUCGCGGCUUAUCAGCUUGUUGGUGGGGUAGUGGCUUACCAAGGCUUUGACGGGUAGCCGGCCUGAGAGGGUGAACGGCCACAUUGGGACUGAGAUACGGACCAGACUCCUACGGGAGGCAGCAGUGGGGAAUAUUGCACAAUGGGCGGAAGCCUGAUGCAGCAACGCCGCGUUCGUGAUGACGGCCUUCGGGUUGUAAACCGCUUUCGCCUGUGACGAAGCGUGAGUGACGGUAAUGGGUAAAGAAGCACCGGCUAACUACGUG
rnacentral:rRNA from 1 species